GGACUACCAGGGUAUCUAAUCCCGUUCGCUCCCCUGGCUUUCGCGCCUCAGCGUCAGAAAAGGUCCAGCAGUGCGCUUUCGCCACCGGCGUUCCUUCCGAUAUCAACGCAUUUCACCGCUCCACCGGAAGUUCCCACUGCCCCUACCUCGCUCAAGACUCCCAGUAUCCAAGGCACUUUUCCGGUUAAGCCGAAAGAUUUCACCCCGGACUUGGGAACCCGCCUACGCGCCCUUUAAGCCCAGUGAUUCCGAACAACGUUUGCACGGUUCGUCUUACCGCGGCGGCUGGCAC
rnacentral:rRNA from 3 species